UACGGAGGGUGCAAGCGUUAUCCGGAUUCACUGGGUUUAAAGGGUGCGUAGGUGGGCAGGUAAGUCAGUGGUGAAAUCUCUGGGCUCAACUCAGAAACUGCCAUUGAUACUAUUUGUCUUGAAUACCGUGGAGGUCAGCGGAAUAUGUCAUGUAGCGGUGAAAUGCUUAGAUAUGACAUAGAACACCAAUUGCGAAGGCAGCUGGCUACACGAAUAUUGACACUGAUGCACGAAAGCGUGGGGGAUCAAACAGG
rnacentral:rRNA from 1 species